rnacentral:rRNA from 2 species
CCAGAAGCGGGGGACAACAUUUGGAAACAGAUGCUAAUACCGCAUAACAACGUUGUUCGCAUGAACAACGCUUAAAAGAUGGCUUCUCGCUAUCACUUCUGGAUGGACCUGCGGUGCAUUAGCUUGUUGGUGGGGUAAUGGCCUACCAAGGCGAUGAUGCAUAGCCGAGUUGAGAGACUGAUCGGCCACAAUGGGACUGAGACACGGCCCAUACUCCUACGGGAGGCAGCAGUAGGGAAUCUUCCACAAUGGGCGCAAGCCUGAUGGAGCAACACCGCGUGAGUGAAGAAGGGUUUCGGCUCGUAAAGCUCUGUUGUUAAAGAAGAACACGUAUGAGAGUAACUGUUCAUACGUUGACGGUAUUUAACCAGAAAGUCACGGCUAACUACGUGCCAGCAGCCGCGGUAAUACGUAGGUGGCAAGCGUUAUCCGGAUUUAUUGGGCGUAAAGAGAGUGCAGGCGGUUUUCUAAGUCUGAUGUGAAAGCCUUCGGCUUAACCGGAGAAGUGCAUCGGAAACUGGAUAACUUGAGUGCAGAAGAGGGUAGUGGAACUCCAUGUGUAGCGGUGGAAUGCGUAGAUAUAUGGAAGAACACCAGUGGCGAAGGCGGCUACCUGGUCUGCAACUGACGCUGAGACUCGAAAGCAUGGGUAGCGAACAGGAUUAGAUACCCUGGUAGUCCAUGCCGUAAACGAUGAGUGCUAGGUGUUGGAGGGUUUCCGCCCUUCAGUGCCGGAGCUAACGCAUUAAGCACUCCGCCUGGGGAGUACGACCGCAAGGUUGAAACUCAAAGGAAUUGACGGGGGCCCGCACAAGCGGUGGAGCAUGUGGUUUAAUUCGAAGCUACGCGAAGAACCUUACCAGGUCUUGACAUCUUGCGCCAACCCUAGAGAUAGGGCGUUUCCUUCGGGAACGCAAUGACAGGUGGUGCAUGGUCGUCGUCAGCUCGUGUCGUGAGAUGUUGGGUUAAGUCCCGCAACGAGCGCAACCCUUGUUACUAGUUGCCAGCAUUAAGUUGGGCACUCUAGUGAGACUGCCGGUGACAAACCGGAGGAAGGUGGGGACGACGUCAGAUCAUCAUGCCCCUUAUGACCUGGGCUACACACGUGCUACAAUGGACGGUACAACGAGUCGCGAACUCGCGAGGGCAAGCAAAUCUCUUAAAACCGUUCUCAGUUCGGACUGCAGGCUGCAACUCGCCUGCACGAAGUCGGAAUCGCUAGUAAUCGCGGAU